CCCUUGUUGCGACGCGGAGGGACAUUA
rnacentral:rRNA from 1 species